GCAAAAACCGGAUUCAGGCUGGUUUUGGUGUUGCGCUGCCUUUUAGGAAGGAGUUUGUCAGCCUCGAGAGAAUAAGAGAGCAGGUCCUGCACCCCUCCGAAAAUGGCACGUGGAAGUGGUUUCGAAAGCGCCGCCUUUGGUCUCCUUUCUGCAGGAUCCCUGCUCCCCACAAAUCAUACUGUGGAUCCAAAGCGGGCUCCUUAAUACUUGCGUGAAACGAGGGCGAAGACUAGACCCGUUGUCCCCAUGUUGGGAAAGAGCACCUUUCCCUUCCCCAGCAGGGUUGCCCGGUGCAGCUAGCGUCGUGUGGCCACCAGCUACCCAUGAAUCACAGCUGAAAAACUGCUUUGCCUGAGCCGUAAUAAUCUGAGACAGCAAAGGGAGAAGUGAUUCCAAUCAUGAUGCAGGCUGCCUCACGGUAGAACAUGAGCAGGUAAUGCACAAGGAGCACCACUGGGAAUCAUGUCAGACGAGUCAAUCUCAGGGAGUGAUCCGGACCUGGACCCGGACUUGGAGCAGGAGGAUAUGGAAGAGGAGGAGGAGGAAGAUGAGGAGGAGGCGAUGGAGGAGGACAACGAUGGGGAUGACGAGGAAGACUUACUUGAUGAGAAUGGGUCUGUGAAGGCAUCUUGGAAGAGCCGGGAGCUGCAGCCUCUUCAAGGAGAGGAUGUUCCUCCAUGUGCUUCCCACCCCAAGCUUGUCUUGGCUCUUCUCCUACCUGACAAAGUGCUGGAACAAAACAAAACUGCGCGUGUGGGAGUCCCCAGAUGAGCAUGUGCGGUUGGGAAUAGAGCAAAUUUCUGUCCUUACAGGGGAACAGAGGAAUGUCUUUGGGACAAAUCUGUUCAGUUAGCAGGAUCCUCUGCUUGUUU
rnacentral:lncRNA from 1 species